AACAAUCCAGUGAUCAAACUCAAAAAUGUGUCGGAAGGUCGUACACCUUUAUCGAGAAAUCCGUUACAACAUUUUUUGUCCUUAUCUACAGUUUGGUCGUAAAAUAAUCGAUAGAAUAUUGAAAAUAAAAUCUCUAAGCGGGCAAUUUAGUUUGUUGAGCUAUUGUUUUGCUGUAUAUGUAUAACAUUUGUAAUAUAAAAGAAUAACUGUAUUUAUAAUGCCAUUUGCAGAUAUUAAGUGUAUUCGGGAAGUGAGCAGCGAAGACAAUAAUUUUACAGCUGAAAAUUUAAUAAAACAUACUGCAAAAAAAUGGAAAACACGAACUUGUGGCGAAAGAGUUGCGUAUGUUGUUUUCGAAUUAAGUGAGCCGCAAAUAAUUACAGGUAUUGAUAUUGGAAAUGAACAUUCUGCCUUCAUAGAGGUAUUGGUCAGCAAAACUUGUUGCAGCACAAAUAAUUUUACUGAAAUUUUGGUGACUUGUUCGUUUAUGACUCUAAUAGAGAGUAAGAAUUCCACAAAUGUCAAUCGAGUUCGUUGUUUUAGUAGAGACGCAUUAGUACCCACGGCAACAUCCGAAAAGUGGCAGUUUAUUAAAGUGAUUUGUAGUCAACCUUUCAACAAACACGUACAAUAUGGGAUAUCGUUUAUUAAAUUACAUGUCGAUUCCGAACCAAAUAAGAAAAUUACCUCUCUUGAACAUAAGAAAUCAAUAACUACAAAUGAUUUAGCUAACGUCUCUGAGACACUAAAUAAUUCCCAACUGGGUAAAUUUAGAAUGCGGGAAGAGUCUCCAGAAUCUGACUCAGAAAGUUCCACAUCGCUAUUUAAAAGAUGGAAAGCUUCUGAAAUGAAUAAUGUUUCAAAAAGUUCUCCAAUAGAAAAGAAAAGUGUAAAAACGAAAGAACCAGUAAAUAAAAAUUUGCCAAUUUGUUUAGACCGUAAUCGAAAAGAACUUGGUUUUGGCAACGAAGAAACGAGUGGUGGUGAAAUACUUUCAAUUAAAAAACAAAGAUUAUUGGAAACUAUAGAGAUUGAACGUCGGCAACUGCAAGCUAAAACUGAAAAAUCCAAAGUUAGCAGCGACAGUAAGAAACCAAUUAAAUCUUCUUCCAUGGCAAAUAAAAGGCACGAAAAUGUCGAGGAUAAAGCAAUAAAGAGAUUCGACAAAACAAGUUAUGAUAUAGUCAAAAAGCAAAGUGAGAAACAUUUAAUCUAUCGUCCAUUCAAUGAGCUUCUAAAAGGCACUGUUUUAGUAAUCAGUGGAAUACAAAAUCCCGAUCGUUCAGAUAUUCGGGAUAAAGCUUUGUCAAUGGGAGCAAGAUAUAAAGCUGAUUGGGGAACUGAUUGUACACAUUUAAUCAAUGUGGCACCAAUUGGUGAUUCCAAGCGAAGCCAGGUCCUUCUCCACCUGGGUUUUCCAACGGAGUUGAGGUGUGCCUCUUCCUCUCCCGGCGGGUGCUGCGUCGAAUACUUUCAGAGUUGGAGUGUUUUCGGCCAUUCGAUCAAUAUCACUAGCCGAUGUCUCUUAAUUCACCGAACUAUGUCAAAGUCGUUGUAUAUCCUGCACAGCAGUUUUUUCGGCAAUCUAAAAAAAAACGGGAAUAAUGAGUAACUUAUAGAGUUUGGUUUUUGUUCGUCGAGAGAGGACUUUACUUCGCAAUUGCCUACUCAGUCCGCAGUAGCACCUGUUGGCAAGAGUUAUUCUGCGUUGGAUUUCCAGGCUGACAUUGUCGGUGGUGUUGAUACUGGUUCCAAGAUAGAUUAAAUUAUCUACGACUUCGAAGUUAUGACUGUCAAGAGUGACGUGAGAGCCAAGUCGUGAGUGCGACGACUGAUUGUUUAAUGAUAUUUCGUCUUGCCCUCGUUCACCACCAGACCCAUUUUCCUUGCUUCCUUAUCCAGUCUGGAGAAACCUUGUUUGGUAUCGCACGGCUCGGAGAGGUUCUUCCCGAUCAUGACGGAGCUUUUGGUAUUGCUCAACGUCAGCUUACACAGCUGUAUUAGUUAUGCGAGGAUACCAAAUUCAGACAUCGCGGCAUAAAGGCAACUGCUUUUUGUACUGCCAAAAGCAACUUUGAAAUCGACGAAAAUGUGGUGUGUGUCGAUUCGCUUUUCACGGGUCUUUUCCAAGAUUUGGCGCAUAGUGAAUAUCUGGUCGGUUGUUAAUUUUCCAGGUCUAAAGCCACACUGACCACUCGGCUAUAAUCGCGUAAGCGGUGUCUACACCAAUUAAGAAGAAGCCACACUGAUAAGGUUGUACAAAGAAGCUGAUGCAUGCUCCUUAUCAGUUCUUCGCCUCCGCGUUUGAAUAGCUCGGCCGACAAUACAUCGGCUCUGCCGCUUUGUUGUUCUUCAGACGGGUAAUUGCUAUUCGGACUUCUUCAUGGUCGGUAAAUGGAAAAUCUGCUCCAUCGUCAUUGAUUGGGAAAUUGAGUUCGCCUUCACUUGACGUUAUACUUUCACUGCCAUUCAGCAAGCUGGUGAAGUGUUCCUUCCAUAAUUUUAGUAUGCUCUGGGCAUCAAUCACUAGAUGACUCUGGGGAUUCUACAAUAGUAUGCUCCGGUCUUGAAACCUUCCGUUAGUCGCCGCAUUUUUUUAGUAGAAUUUUCGAGCAUUACCCCUGUUGGCCAGCUUGUCAAGCUCUUCAGAUGUGCUUUCAAGAAUACACCAAAAUAUAACCAGGUGAGGGGAAAAGGUAGAAUAGUUACACGUGCCUGGAUAGAAGACUGCUACAAACAAAAAAAAUGCUUGCAUUGGCGAAAAUAUGCUUUGGAUAGCAGUGAUCUA